rnacentral:rRNA from 1 species
GUCCUAGCUGUAAACGAUGAGUGCUGGGUGUGGGAGGUAUUAACCCCUCCUGUGCCGAAGCUAACGCAUUAAGCACUCCGCCUGGGGAGUACGGUCGCAAGGCUGAAAACUCAAAGGAAUUGACGGGGGCCCGCACAAGCGGUGGAGCAUGUGGUUCAAUUCGACGCAACGCGAAGAACCUUACCGGGGUUUGAACUGUACGGGACAGCUCUAGAGAUAGAGUCUUCCUUCGGGACCCGUAUAGAGGUGCUGCAUGGCUGUCGU